rnacentral:rRNA from 1 species
UACGUAGGGUGCGAGCGUGUCCGGAAUUAUUGGGCGUAAAGAGCUCGUAGGUGGUGUGUCGCGUCUGCCGUGAAAGCCCGGGCUUAACUCCGGUCGCGGGUGGAUACGGGCAGGCUUGAGUUCGGUAGGGGAGACUGGAAUUCCGUGGUGGUAGCGGUGAAAUUGCGCAGAUAUCAGGAAGAACACCCGUGGCUAAGGCGGCUCUCUAGUACGGUACUGACGCUGAGACGCGAAAGCGUGGGGAGCGAACAGG